rnacentral:rRNA from 1 species
UACGGGAGGAGCGAGCAUUAUUCGGAAUGAUUAGGCGUAAAGGGUUUGUAGGUGGUUUUUUAAGUUGAAAAAAACAAAUUAAAGCUCAACUUUAUAAAUUUUUUCAAAACUGAAAAACUUGAGUAUAAAUAGAGGAUAAUGGAAUUUCUAUUGGAGGGAUAAAAUAUGUUGAUAAUAGAAGGAAGAUCAAAAGCGAAGGCAAUUAUCUGGGUAUAUACUGACACUGAGAAACGAAAGCUUGGGUAGCGAACGGGAUUAGAAACCCGUAGUCC